rnacentral:rRNA from 1 species
CGGGGAGCAGCAGGCGCGAAACCUUUACACUGCACGACAGUGCGAUAGGGGGACACCGAGUGCGAGGGCAUAGAGCCCUCGCUUUUGUAGACCGUAAGGAGGUCUACGAAUAAGGGCUGGGCAAGACCGGUGCCAGCCGCCGCGGUAACACCGGCAGCCCAAGUGAUGGCCGAUAUUAUUGGGCCUAAAGCGUCCGUAGCUGGCCGCGCAAGUUCGUCGGGAAAUCCACUCGCUUAACGAGUGGGCGUCCGGCGAAAACUGUGCGGCUUGGGACCGGAAGAUCCAAGGGGUACGUCCGGGGUAGGAGUGAAAUCCCGUAAUCCUGGACGGACCACCGGUGGCGAAAGCGCCUCGGGAGGAGGGACCCGACAGUGAGGGACGAAAGCCAGGGUCUCGAACCGGAUUAGAUACCCGGGUAGUCCUGGCCGUAAACGAUGUCUGCUAGGUGUGGCGCAGGCUACGAGCCUGCGCUGUGCCGUAGGGAAGCCGUGGAGCAGACCGCCUGGGAAGUACGUCCGCAAGGAUGAAACUCAAAGGAAUUGACGG